rnacentral:rRNA from 1 species
CCUACGGGAGGCAGCAGUGAGGAAUAUUGGUCAAUGGACGAGAGUCUGAACCAGCCAAGUAGCGUGAAGGAUGAAUGCCCUAUGGGUUGUAAACUUCUUUUAUAUGGGAAUAAAACGUUCCACGUGUGGGAUUUUGUAUGUACCAUAUGAAUAAGCAUCGGCUAACUCCGUGCCAGCAGCCGCGGUAAUACGGAGGAUGCGAGCGUUAUCCGGAUUUAUUGGGUUUAAAGGGUGCGUAGGUGGAUUGUUAAGUCAGUUGUGAAAGUUUGCGGCUCAACCGUAAAAUUGCAGUUGAAACUGGCAGUCUUGAGUACAGUAGAGGUGGGCGGAAUGCGUGGUGUAGCGGUGAAAUGCUUAGAUAUCACGAAGAACCCCGAUUGCGAAGGCAGUUCACUGGACUGCAACUGACACUGAGGCUCGAAAGUGUGGGUAUCAAACAGGAUUAGAUACCCUUGUAGUC